UACGAAGGGGGCUAGCGUUGUUCGGAAUUACUGGGCGUAAAGCGCACGUAGGCGGAUUUGUUAGUCAGGGGUGAAAUCCCGGGGCUCAACCUCGGAACUGCCUUUGAUACUGCAAAUCUCGAGUCCGGAAGAGGUGAGUGGAAUUCCUAGUGUAGAGGUGAAAUUCGUAGAUAUUAGGAAGAACACCAGUGGCGAAGGCGGCUCAGUGUCACGGCACUGACGCUGAGGUGCGAAAGCGUGGGGAGCAAACAGG
rnacentral:rRNA from 1 species